GGGGUUUGGCUGUGGGGUACAAGCCAAAGUGAGCCAUUCGUGAUGAAGGGAUAGUAUUGGUCAAUUCCCCUACAGUCCUGCAGCUGCUAGACAGAAUGGAUUUUUUUUUUAGUUCUUUUUGCUCUUCAUGUUGUGUGGAUCGGACUAUAUGACCAUAAAAGCCAUAUAAAUGUGUUUAAUAAUAAUUACAAAUGGUAGAUCAUAGCUUUAAGACAGAUGCAUGCGCUAGCAUAUUUGCUAAACUAGCAUACGUGUUUCUGAAUUUCUGCUUUUCUAAACCAUUUCUCUCUGUCUCCCUUUAUUUUUGGAGGCUUGCCAAAGGAACCCCCCCAAGACACUGCUAAAGUUGAUAGAUACCUGCAUCUCAGAUAUGCUGAGAUAUGCCCCUCACAGAGGGAUGCAGGUCAGUGUUUUGAUUUGUUGAAAAACAUGUUCAUUGCCGUACAAUUUGUGAUAAGAUGUGAGCAUAUUUGCAAAUUUUGAUGCACAUUGAGACUUUUUUCUGUCAUUAGGUAUACUUUUUGAGUAGUAGUAACAUUGCACCAUUGAACGCAUCCUUGUCUGCAGUGUAUCACUUGGCGUAUCAAAUUCUUAUUUCUAGAAUUCAUGCAUUGUAGUUUAUUAUGUAGUUCAGAGUAAAGUUGCGUGGGUUUACUCACUUAAUUUAGCAUUUGUAUAGCGCUCAUCAUUUGUAUAGCACUGUUCUCAUCACUAAUGCACAGAUAAAGUAGUUGUGGGACUACACUGCUCUGGUUUCUAACAUUAUGUCAAGAUAAAAUUUUAAUGUUUGAUUUAUUUACCCGCCUAGCAAAAAGGUUGCAACCUCGUGUUUUCAGGUUCUUCUCCCUCAUGAGUUUUCUCUACCUGGGGAAAGAUAUGCCGAUGUUGUCUCUUGUUUUAACCCGGUCAGAUUUCCUUUUUCUUUUCUUUGGUGGUUUUCUUUCAAGCUCAUAGGUCAAAUCCUGUCAAUGGUCUUUGAUUUCAAGGAAAAGGGAAACUAUAUCAAAUGCAGGGAGCUUUUAUCAGCAUAGUUGCUGGCGUCUGCCUCUCCUCCCCACCACCGACAACACAUCAUUAUCACUAGAUUAACUUACUUUUUUGUAUAUACUUUAUUUGGAUAUUAUUGGUUAUUUGCAGUAAUUACUGAAUCAGUAAUGAAUCAUUAACAGUUUUUAAAUACUCUUUUUUUUAUUAUGCAUGUGAAUGAGGCAAGUGGACCCAGACCAGACGGUGAUCCUGCAGUGUCGGAGGGGAGCCGCGUAAUCCUGUCAGAAGAAUCUGACACAUAAAUAGCAGGAGUGGAACUGGAGAAAAGAGGAUCAGGACUCCUCAGAACUUUCACAUCCAGAGAAUUUCAUGUUUGGCCGCUGCUCAGUCACACCAGCGACGCGUCCUCCUUAAGGUGCUUCGCAGAUAUUUGUCUAUGAAAACCAACGCAGGCUGCUAACAGAGCAUCAACCCGCUUCGCCUGUUAUUAAAAAUCUUUCUCUCUCCCUCCUUAAUUUUUUAUUUUUUUUUAAGUGUUUAAAUAAAUGAGUGUUGUGAAACAUUUACAUGGGUUCGUGGUCCAAUUCUAUUUUGAAGUAAUUAAUCAGUGAUCCUCGUGACCAGUGUCAGGAAACUUAAAUCUUGAGAUGAAAGGUGAUGUCAUUUCAAUGUUUAAAUACCGUAACAUAACAUUGAUAGAUUUUUCUUUUCAAUGCAUGUUAUCCACUUCUUAAACUGUAUCAUUCUAACACUGCCAGCUGUGAACAUUUGGGUAUAAUGUUGUAGCAAUGUUUUCAUUUGUGACAUUGUAACAAAGUCAUCACAAAAUAUUCUUAGACUGUUUUUAUAGAACAUUCACCCAGAACAUUCUGGGAACUUAAAGAAAACUUCCACCAAAAAAAUAUAAUUAUAACAUCAGGGUAUAAUGUAGCAAUAUUUUAAUUUGUUACAUUGUAAGAACAUUAUCACAAACCAUUGUUAGGAUGUUUAUAGAGAACAUUCUCCUAGAACAUUCUGGGAACUUUAAACAAAACAUCAUUAAAACAUUACAGUGUAAUAUUCUAGUACUAAUUUCAUUCAACAUUUUAAGAAGGCUAUCACAAAAUGUUGUUAGAAUGUCAUCAGAAAAUGUUCUUCAAGAACAUUCUGGGAACCCAAAGAAAACUCCCCCAUAAAGACAUCAUAAAAACAUGAGGGUAUGAUAUUAGGG
rnacentral:lncRNA from 1 species